UUUAAAAUAAAGUUUUUUGUCGUAAAUAGGAAUUAUUUUCAAGAGAAGUUUGUUUUGUUUUCGUGCGCGUAGGAGACGAGACGUACGAAUUAAAUCAGUCGAGGGAAGGAUAAACGUUAGAAAGGAAUUAAAGAGAAAACGAGAGUUUAUGUAAAAGAGAGUUAUAGAAUUUAUAGUGAUGUUUUGUUUUAAUUAGAAAAAUGUUGAGAGUUGUUUCAGAACGACACGUCAGUGGACGUGGCAGAAUGAACACGUGACGGGGAGGUGCUGAGACCUAGCGGAGAACGGAGGAACCGCAAGCGAGGGUUGGCGCACCUGAUGGAAUUCGGUGACGUCACGGGCUCAUACGGAGACGUGGACAGGCCGUGACCUUGUUUUGAUCAGCUGUACGGUAACUUAGCGAUAAGAAAAUAGACUAUUGGUUAAAUACAUUUAAAUUUAAGUGUGUUUUAGGAGAAGAGGAACUUUCAGUAUAUUCCUUAAGAUGAGCUGAGCAGCAGUCCAGUUUACAAGAUGACAAGAGUUCGAGAGACAAGAUACAAGAUCACUGAAACAAGAGCCAAGACUGAAGAUUCAAGAGAAGAGAAAGCUGGCAGCCAUGGACUUACAAGUGGAGAUUAAUAAGGUCAUGUAAAGUUUUAUUUUUUUAUGGAAGACAGUAACUGGAGUUUUUUUUGUUAUAAACAUUAUUUACAGAACUUUUUAGGUUAUAGUAAUGUAAUGGAACUAGUGAGUUGUGGUAGCUGUCAAAAAGAACUAAUACCUUAAGUUUAAUUUUUAAAGUUAAUUUUCUUAAUUUACAGAGGGAUUAGUAGUUUUUUUAAAACCUUAUUUAGGUUGGAAUUUAAAUACAAUAGCUUAUUAUAAAUGUGUACGAACAGUUCAAGUUCACAGUACUGAUAGGUAGGUCAGAUGAUCUUAUUGAUUUUGAUGAUUUGUUGUUUUGAGUUGAUUUUUAAGUGUUGUGAAUUAGACAAUGAAAUAGUUCUGAAAACUUAAAUUAUUUCAAGCUAAGAAAUAGUAAAGUUAAUUGUAACUCAAAGGACACCAGAAUUUAAUUUUUUUUUGAAUUAGUAAUGUUUGAAAAUUUUAUACUUUACAAGAAAGGUUAUAAACAAACAGAUCGGAUGGAACAAGGAUGCAGUAAAUCACAAUUUCAUUUAGAAUUAUUGAUUAGCUUUUGAGGUUAUGAAGUAAAAGUAAUUAUAGUUUAAAAGUUUGAAUAAAAAAAAAUGUUUUUUUUUUAUUUGUUUGAAAUAGAAAGUUUAAAAGUUAAUUAGUCAUGAUCUAGGUGGGUGAUGGGGUGGGAAUUGGCCACUCUUUUUCCCUAUAACCUCCCUAACAUGGACUUCUAUUACAACUAACAGAAAUAAAGAAGAAGAAAAAUGAAGAAUUAUUAGUUAGAAUGUUUCUUUCAUGAAGAUACCUGAUGAACUUUUACUGUUUGGAAGAAUAGAAGCAAGGUUAGUCAGAUAUUUUUACUCAGAAGAAGAAGAAGAUAAAGCAGUUUUAUGACUCGACAAGCCAGAGAUUGGUGUUUCCCCUCUGCGCUUCUAUUGACUACGUUGUUUACUCUCAUGGGAUAGCUGGUUCGGCACCAUGGAGAGAGAUUGGUGGGCAUUGUGGUUGCCCCCAGAAGAAAAGAAGAGUAGAAGAGGUUAUGGGUGGGUCAUGUGAACUGACCUUCAACCCAGUUACUUCGUGGGGACUAUUUGCUGUAUAGAGAAGAUCAAGACUCAAGAGUUAGGGAAAAUCAUUGGAGGUCAUGUUUCCCUUCCUUAAGUUUUUCCUAUCAAAUUAUUUGCCUGAUUAGAUUAUGCUAAGGGUGGGAUACUUUAUGUUAGCAGUUGAAUUAAUUAAUUUUAUUUUUUUGUGUGUUUGCAUCCUUGCCCAUCGAUUGCAGUUUAGUAGUUAGUUUUGUAUUUGUCAGGCGUGAUGGUAAUGCCUGUUGAUGAUGUUUCAGAAUUGUAAUCUGUUCGUGAUGAGGAUGGCACAACUCCGAAGCAGAUGUGGGGAGAAGUUGUGAGCUGCCCUGGAAGCCAGUCCAGUAGCUGUUGGAGUUGAGUGGUGUUUGCUGAUGGCCAGCCCAGGGAGCUACUCUUCUCGACAACACUGACUUCGAGGAGUUGCACCAACCUUCACGAGAUAAGAGUUUAAUUAAUUGAAACACUGUAAGGACACUUAAUUUUUUUUGAAGAACGAAAGAAGUAUGGUAAUAAACGGAAACCGAAAAAAAAAAAAA